rnacentral:rRNA from 1 species
AGAGUUUGAUCAUGGCUCAGAGCGAACGCUGGCGGCAGGCCUAACACAUGCAAGUCGAGCGCGUGUAGCAAUACACGAGCGGCAGACGGGAGAGUAACACGUGGGAACGCGCCCUUUGGUUCGGAAUAACUCAGGGAAACUUGAGCUAAUACCGGAUAAGCCCUUACGGGGAAAGAUUUAUCGCCGAAGGAACGGCCCGCGUCCGAUUAGCUUGUUGGUGAGGUAAUGGCUCACCAAGGCGACGAUCGGUAGCUGGUCUAAGAGGAUGAUCAGCCUCACUGGGACUGAGACACGGCCCAGACUCCUACGGGAGGCAGCAGUGGGGAAUAUUGGACAAUGGGCGCAAGCCUGAUCCAGCCAUGCCGCGUGAGUGAUGAAGGCCCUAGGGUUGUAAAGCUCUUUCAGCGGGGAAGAUAAUGACGGUACCCGCAGAAGAAGCCCCGGCUAACUUCGUGCCAGCGGCCGCGGUAAUACGAAGGGGGCUAGCGUUGCUCGGAAUUACUGGGCGUAAAGCGCACGUAGGCGGCUUUCUAAGUCGGGGGUGAAAUCCUGGAGCUCAACUCCAGAACUGCCUUCGAAACUGGGGAGCUCGAGUCCGGGAGAGGUGAGUGGAACUGCGAGUGUAGAGGUGAAAUUCGUAGAUAUUCGCAAGAACACCAGUGGCGAAGGCGGCUCACUGGCCCGGUACUGACGCUGAGGUGCGAAAGCGUGGGGAGCAAACAGGAUUAGAUACCCUAGUAGUCC